AGGAUGAACGCUAGCGGCAGGCCUAAUACAUGCAAGUCGAACGGUUGCCAGCAAUGGCAAUAGUGGCGCACGGGUGCGUAACGCGUAGCCAACCUACCCACAUCUGGGGGAUAGCCCGCCGAAAGGCGGAUUAAUACCGCAUAAGGCUUGGAACCGGCAUCGGUUUUUAGUUAAAGAUUUAUUGGAUGUGGAUGGGGCUGCGUGCCAUUAGCUAGUUGGGGGGUAACGGCCCACCAAGGCGACGAUGGCUAGGGGAGCUGAGAGGCUGGUCCCCCACACGGGCACUGAGAUACGGGCCCGACUCCUACGGGAGGCAGCAGUAGGGAAUAUUGGGGCAAUGGGGCGAGAGCCUGACCCAGCCAUGCCGCGUGCCGGAUGAAGGCCUUCUGGGUCGUAAACGGCUUUUUCCGGGAAGAACCGGUCCUGUGCGCAGGGCUCUGACGGUACCGGGAGAAUAAGCACCGGCUAACUCCGCGCCAGCAGCCGCGGU
rnacentral:rRNA from 1 species